GCCACAUUGUCUGCGUGAAAAUAGAAGCCCAGAGAGUGGUAGGUGUGGGAGGCCUGCAAAUGCAGGUUGGCCAGGCGGUUGACAGCAACCUCCACCUCAGUGGGAUAACUCUGACGAGUUUGGGAGCUUAAGGUUGUUUGGCAAUAAGGAGUUAAGGUUGGAAAAACGGU